AGUACCCAUGUAAUCAGGUCGCAUAUCCUAGGGAUCCAGAUUAUUGUACAUCAACAAAAGAUAAACAGGCAGAUACUGAUAAUGUACAACAUCAGCAUACGUGGAGGACAAAACUUAUUCCUGUUAGUUCAAAAAAUGUCACAGAAGUAAAAAAAGUUGAAAAGACAAAAGUGAAGAAAAUAACAAGCACCUCCCUUAAUACACCGAAGAAAUCUGGUGAACCUACAGAAAAACAAAUUUUGGCUGAAAGAUAUUUGCAAGCUGUUCAAUCUGGUUGGAAGAGAGACCGUUCAGGAAAAUGGGUGCAGGAUGACACAGUAGAGUUUGAGUCUGACGAGGAACCUCCUGAUAUACCUUGACCUACAGGUACAAGACGGAAAGCCUGUUAUGAAAAAACUUGCCCCUUCCAGUCAUGGAAAUCACUUGACAUUCUCAGGGUUUAAAGAAGAUUGUGCUAAAGAUAUUACCCCAAAACAUUUCUUUCCUCUUUUAUAUUUGUUAAGAGGAGCCAUACAAUAAUUUUAUUACUGAAUCAUGAAUUUUGAAAUUGGAAUCAGACUACACGAUUUCUCAUGCAAAUUAAAAGGGGUUAACCAUU